AUCCAGCUGACCAGUCCCAAAUAGAACGAAACGCGCAUCCUGGAU
rfam:Schistosoma rodhaini strain Burundi genome assembly, scaffold: SROB_scaffold0001626